AGUGGCGAACUGGUGAGUAACACGUGGGAAACCUGCCCAGAAGCGGGGGAUAACACCUGGAAACAGAUGCUAAUACCGCAUAACAACUUGGACCGCAUGGUCCGAGUUUGAAAGAUGGCUUCGGCUAUCACUUUUGGAUGGUCCCGCGGCGUAUUAGCUAGAUGGUGGGGUAACGGCUCACCAUGGCAAUGAUACGUAGCCGACCUGAGAGGGUAAUCGGCCACAUUGGGACUGAGACACGGCCCAAACUCCUACGGGAGGCAGCAGUAGGGAAUCUUCCACAAUGGACGAAAGUCUGAUGGAGCAACGCCGCGUGAGUGAAGAAGGGUUUCGGCUCGUAAAACUCUGUUGUUAAAGAAGAACAUAUCUGAGAGUAACUGUUCAGGUAUUGACGGUAUUUAACCAGAAAGCCACGGCUAACUACGUGCCAGCAGCCGCGGUAAUACGUAGGUGGCAAGCGUUGUCCGGAUUUAUUGGGCGUAAAGCGAGCGCAGGCGGUUUUUUAAGUCUGAUGUGAAAGCCUUCGGCUCAACCGAAGAAGUGCAUCGGAAACUGGGAAACUUGAGUGCAGAAGAGGACAGUGGAACUCCAUGUGUAGCGGUGAAAUGCGUAGAUAUAUGGAAGAACACCAGUGGCGAAGGCGGCUGUCUGGUCUGUAACUGACGCUGAGGCUCGAAAGUAUGGGUAGCAAACAGGAUUAGAUACCCUGGUAGUCCAUACCGUAAACGAUGAAUGCUAAGUGUUGGAGGGUUUCCGCCCUUCAGUGCUGCAGCUAACGCAUUAAGCAUUCCGCCUGGGGAGUACGGCCGCAAGGCUGAAACUCAAAGGAAUUGACGGGGGCCCGCACAAGCGGUGGAGCAUGUGGUUUAAUUCGAAGCUACGCGAAGAACCUUACCAGGUCUUGACAUACUAUGCAAAUCUAAGAGAUUAGACGUUCCCUUCGGGGACAUGGAUACAGGUGGUGCAUGGUUGUCGUCAGCUCGUGUCGUGAGAUGUUGGGUUAAGUCCCGCAACGAGCGCAACCCUUAUUAUCAGUUGCCAGCAUUAAGUUGGGCACUCUGGUGAGACUGCCGGUGACAAACCGGAGGAAGGUGGGGAUGACGUCAAAUCAUCAUGCCCCUUAUGACCUGGGCUACACACGUGCUACAAUGGAUGGUACAACGAGUUGCGAACUCGCGAGAGUAAGCUAAUCUCUUAAAGCCAUUCUCAGUUCGGAUUGUAGGCUGCAACUCGCCUACAUGAAGUCGGAAUCGCUAGUAAUCGCGGAUCAGCAUGCCGCGGUGAAUACGUUCCCGGGCCUUGUACACACCGCCCGUCACACCAUGAGAGUUUGUAACACCCAAAGUCG
rnacentral:rRNA from 2 species